GAUGAACGCUGGCGGCGUGCCUAAUACAUGCAAGUCGAGCGAACAGAUGAGGAGCUUGCUCCUCUGACGUUAGCGGCGGACGGGUGAGUAACACGUGGAUAACCUACCUAUAAGACUGGGAUAACUUCGGGAAACCGGAGCUAAUACCGGAUAAUAUAUUGAACCGCAUGGUUCAAUAGUGAAAGACGGUUUUGCUGUCACUUAUAGAUGGAUCCGCGCCGCAUUAGCUAGUUGGUAAGGUAACGGCUUACCAAGGCAACGAUGCGUAGCCGACCUGAGAGGGUGAGCGGCCACACUGGAACUGAGACACGGUCCAGACUCCUACGGGAGGCAGCAGUAGGGAAUCUUCCGCAAUGGGCGCAAGCCUGACGGAGCAACGCCGCGUGAGUGAUGAAGGUCUUCGGAUCGUAAAACUCUGUUAUUAGGGAAGAACAAAUGUGUAAGUAACUAUGCACGUCUUGACGGUACCUAAUCAGAAAGCCACGGCUAACUACGUG
rnacentral:rRNA from 1 species